rfam:Alishewanella agri BL06 contig026, whole genome shotgun sequence.
UGCUGCCGCUGGAUGAGUGAUCGGCGGUUAGCGUAUUUUAGCUCACUCACAUUUGGAGACAUACCAUGUCAUUAAGCGCUGCUCAAAAAGCACAAAUCGUUGCUGAAUACGCUGUUAAAGCG